UUCUCCCAUAUUCAUCUUUAUUUUUCAUCUCAACAAAUUUAAAAUUUCUUGAGAUAAAAACAAUAAACUUUCAUUGUUGUUGAAAAAAUGAGGUUCAAAGUUACCGUGAAUCGAUUCAUCCACAGUAGACUUUUAUCCUUAUUUCUCUUAAAUUAGUUUAUUUUCAUUGUUGUUUAAAGCUGUGUAAUUUGAAGCGUUGAACAAAAGUCGAUCAAAAAAUAACAACUAUCUCAUUACGUUGAAGAAAUUAAAGAAAGCACUUAAAAUAAAGAAGAAAGUUGGUUCUGAUGGCGAAAGAAGUGUCCAUGGUGCUUCUAAAUGUAUUUCUCGUGAUGCAAAACGAAGAGAUGUUGAAGUUACAUCAAGAAAAUCUUUUAUGAAGGAAUUGUGGACUAUUUGUUGCUUUGUUCGCUAAGUUUCUAAGUGAUGGACAACAAGUAUCAUAUUCUAGGAUUGAUGCUAAAUUUCUUUGAAUGAGAUAUGCUUUACUCCUGUACAAUUAUGGACAUGUCAAGGCUGAGAAUGGCUAUGUUAGUGACAGUGAAGAUCCACCAAUACCUAAACCCAACUUCAUUACUCCAGAUGAAAACAAAGUGAUUACAAUUGAGUAGAUUUAGUUAUGUUGUUUUUAGGUGCAAAUAUAUAAACACUUUUAAGUAUUUGUCUAAACAAAUUGGUGACUGAUUUUUGGUGUUGAUUGAUCACGCUUAACUUACUUCAUUAUUUUGGGACAAGAAGAUUGUUGUCAAUAUAAUAACCCAAUUUGAGUUGA